GGCUUGUUAGCUUAGUUGGUAGAACACAGCACUGGUAUUGCAGAGAUCAUGGGUUCAAAUCCCAUACAGGCCU
rnacentral:tRNA from 1 species